UACGGAGGGUGCGAGCGUUGUCCGGAAUCACUGGGCGUAAAGGGCGCGUAGGCGGCCUGAUAAGUAGGGGGUGAAAUCUUGCGGCUUAACCGCAAGGCUGCCUUCUAAACUGUCAGGCUAGAGCACAGUAGAGGCAGGUGGAAUUCCCGGUGUAGCGGUGGAAUGCGUAGAGAUCCGGAAGAACACCGGUGGCGAAGGCGGUUCUCUGGGCAUUACCUGACGCUGAGGAGCGAAAGCAUGGGGAGCGAACAGG
rnacentral:rRNA from 1 species